GACGAACGCUGGCGGCGUGCCUAAUACAUGCAAGUCGAACGCUUCUUUCCCCCCGAGUGCUUGCACUCAAUUGGAAAGAGGAGUGGCGGACGGGUGAGUAACACGUGGGUAACCUACCCAUCAGAGGGGGAUGACACUUGGAAACAGGUGCUAAUACCGCAUAACAGUUUAUGCCGCAUGGCAUAAGAGUGAAAGGCGCUUUCGGGUGUCGCUGAUGGAUGGACCCGCGGUGCAUUAGCUAGUUGGUGAGGUAACGGCUCACCAAGGCCACGAUGCAUAGCCGACCUGAGAGGGUGAUCGGCCACACUGGGACUGAGACACGGCCCAGACUCCUACGGGAGGCAGCAGUAGGGAAUCUUCGGCAAUGGACGAAAGUCUGACCGAGCAACGCCGCGUGAGUGAAGAAGGUUUUCGGAUCGUAAAACUCUGUUGUUAGAGAAGAACAAGGACGUUAGUAACUGAACGUCCCCUGACGGUAUCUAACCAGAAAGCCACGGCUAACUACGUG
rnacentral:rRNA from 1 species